rnacentral:lncRNA from 1 species
GAGCGCCCCUCGUCCUCCUCGCCCUUGACUGAGUGAAGGUGGGGAGGGCUCAGAGUCGGAAGAGACCGCCAGAAUCCGAAGUUUCCACUGGGGUCCGGGCCACAGAGCUCGCGGCCAAGUUGUCACCGUUUGGAACUGGUUUAUAUUUUAACUUGGUGCCUCCUGUAAAUUUUUUUCUCUCCUUUGGCUAUUUCCAUCCUUACUGGAGACAACAAAUCAGCAAUGCUCUCUUUGAGCUUUUAUUAAUAUCCGAGGGAGGGAUAAAGUUGGCCACGCUGAUCUCACGGAAUCUCUCGAGAGGUUUUGUUGCUGUUGUUUUUAAUGGAACACUCUUUUUAAAAGAGAGAGUGUACAACAUGUUUUACAUGAAAACUCAAGUGUAUGGAUUCAGCAAAAUCUUCUCAGAAAAACACUCGGCUCGAACACAAAUCUUCAGACUGAGGCCCCACAAAAUAUUUUCAGAUAGAACUAUUCUACUUCAAAUAUCGAAAAUAAUCUGAAUUCGUCUUUCUCCUCAUAAAGCUGAAAAGCCAUUGCUUCUGCACAAGUGUCUUAUAAAAUUGGCAGAAGCAGCGUCCGUUUGAAACUUCAGAUAAACAACAGGGAAAUCUGCCUUCCAGUUGAGCCUCAGCCAUUUCCAGUUGACAGUGAAGGAGCAUUUACCUGUGGCUGCCACUGCCAACCGCAGGACCACGGACACAGGAGGGGCUAACCAGCUUCUCCCUGGAGGUCCUUCCAAAGGGGGUUUGAGGCAGACAAAGAUUUCCUAGAGUGUGUCCCACAAAAUCCCAAUUUCUUACACCUGAAAAUGUGUUAUUAUGUACUUAAGAUUGGAAAACACUGAGUUGAACGAAAAUUAAACUAACAUCUUUAC